AUUUCUCAGCCUUUGGCUAAGAUAAAGUACAAUAUCUGUAGUUUAAUAUCUAGUACGUGGACCAUAUAUGCACUUUAAUUUAAAAUUUAUUUUUAGAGGGAUCCACU
rnacentral:snRNA from 1 species